AUCGUGGUGGGAGACAGUGUCAGGCGGGCAGUUUGACUGGGGCGGUCGCCUCCUAAAAGGUAACGGAGGCGCUCAAAGGUUCCCUCAGAAUGGUUGGAAAUCAUUCAUAGAGUGUAAAGGCAUAAGGGAGCUUGACUGCGAGACCUACAAGUCGAGCAGGGUCGAAAGACGGACUUAGUGAUCCGGUGGUUCCGCAUGGA
rnacentral:rRNA from 1 species